AUAUAUAAUACCCAAGACCGCCCAAUAUCCAAUUUGGUCUUGUGUUUGUAAUCAAGAGAAUAUAAAAUUAUUUCAUUGCAAAAAUCAUUUGUAAAUCAAUGCUCAUUUUUGAUAUCUUACAUAUUAAUACACAGAAUUCAUUUUAAAUAAUGGAACAUUAUAUAAAUCUUGAAAACUCUAUACUCCUUUUCUGAUUCAUUCAGAAAACUCUUAUCAAUUUGAUUUGAUUUAAAAUCAUAUAAAAUUUUAUGGAAUUCAUUUUUUCCAGGCAAGCUCCGAAAUGUAUGUAAAGCCUUAAUCACAACAAAGCAAACUCAAAGAAUAAAAUCUAAAGUUUGUUUUUCUUUAAUAAUUUCCUAUGUUACCAAAUGGAUCUGAAGUGAAAGAUAAUCAAUAAAUCAGAACAAAAAACGAACAAAAGCAAGUCGAAAAUAUAUCUGAACCU
rnacentral:misc_RNA from 1 species